UUCCUUUCCUUUUUUUAUUCAUUUAUUUUUAUUUUUUUGUAAUCUUAUUAGUCCAGAAAUUAAAAUUCAGCCAAAGAAGGAUAAUGUGGAAAAUUUCCAUGACAAAAUAGGACUACUUACGCGGUACAUUCUUUCAGGGACGACACAAAUGAGGAAAGACAUAAUUUCAAUUUUCAGGCGUGGCAAUAUUUAGAGUUAUGUUGACGUCUUACAAAAUAAAUGAUGCGUCUUGUACAUGUUAAUAGCAGAACCUAUGAAUGCCAAAACUUGUAGGUUGAUUCAGAAGACAUCCUAGCAGAAAAAGCGAUAGACCAUAUAUAGAGUUUUUCCUUCUAUUGAAACCAACACUUGCUCCACUUAUUCAGUUAUGGUGUUACAUUUCAUUUGCAUUCUAGCUCUAUUCUCAUCAUUUUGGUGUCUGAUUCUUGCAGGUGUUGUUGAUGGAAAAAAUACGCCCGAAGAUGAUGCUAUUCCAGGUUAUAUUAGUGGUGCCAUUACUAGGCACUGUGCUUGUGACUCAUUCCCAAAAUGUUGUGCAUUAUUCUCAAACUAGGCUCCUAGUUGUUCCUGAAAUUUGUCCUGAAACUAUAUGAUGCAGGAGUCUUAAAAGUAGGAAAAUAACUAGCGGAAGCAACAGCUGCCACAAUUGCUUAAUUACUGUGAGUUUAGCCGAAAUGUGUUAUUUUCUGUUGCUUUUAUGUGCAGGGUAAUUUGAUUCUUUCAGAUAUAGGCUUGGCUGAGCCCGAGAAACAGAGUAUAUCAUGCUGCUCUUAAUGGUAACAACAGCAUGCCUACUGUUUUGCAUCAGAAAGACGAUUGAUAAUAUUCAUGGCCUCACUCUGAAAAGUUAUAUAGUCUUGGAUCCUUGCUACUGUUAGUGUUGCUACUGAUUAUGGUGGUUUCCACCAUACUUCUUUAACUUUCUUAUGAAUAAACGGGUG
rnacentral:lncRNA from 1 species